AUUGAACGCUGGCGGCAUGCUUUACACAUGCAAGUCGAACGGUAACAGGUUAAGCUGACGAGUGGCGAACGGGUGAGUAAUGCAUCGGAACGUGCCCGGUCGUGGGGGAUAACGCAGCGAAAGCUGCGCUAAUACCGCAUACGCUCUGAGGAUGAAAGCGGGGGACCGUAAGGCCUCGCGCGAUCGGAGCGGCCGAUGUCAGAUUAGGUAGUUGGUGGGGUAAAGGCUCACAAAGCCGACGAUCUGUAGCUGGUCUGAGAGGACGACCAGCCAACCUGGGACUGAGACACGGCCCAGAAUCCUACGGGAGGCAGCAGUGGGGAAUUUUGGACAAUGGGCGCAAGCCUGAUCCAGCAAUGCCGCGUGCAGGAAGAAGGCCUUCGGGUUGUAAACUGCUUUUGUACGGAGCGAAAAGGCUCUCUCUAAUACAGGGGGCUCAUGACGGUACCGUAAGGAUAAGCACCGGCUAACUACGUGCCAGCCGCCGCAGUAAAAC
rnacentral:rRNA from 1 species